GACGAACGCUGGCGGCGUGCUUAACACAUGCAAGUCGAACGGAAAGGCCUGCUUUCCCUUGUGGAUUGCGGGUACUCGAGUGGCGAACGGGUGAGUAACACGUGAGUGAUCUGCCCCCAACUUGGGUAUAAGCCUGGGAAACUGGGUCUAAUUCCCGAUAGGACUGCAGGGUGGUGCCUGUGGUGGAAAACGAUUUUCUAGUGGUUGGGGAUGAGCUCGCGGCCUAUCAGCUUGUUGGUGGGGGAAUGGCCUACCAAGGCGGCGACGGGUAGCCGGCCUGAGAGGGUGGACGGCCUCAUUGGGACUGAGAUACGGCCCAGACUCCUACGGGAGGCAGCAGUGGGGAAUAUUGCACAAUGGGCGGAAGCCUGAUGCAGCGACGCCGCGUGGGGGAUGACGGCCUUCGGGUUGUAAACUCCUUUCGACCGCGAGGAAGCCACCUGGUUGGAAGGGUGGUGACGGUAGUGGUAGAAGAAGCACCGGCUAACUACGUG
rnacentral:rRNA from 1 species